rnacentral:misc_RNA from 1 species
UAAUUUUAAUAAAUUUGACCAUGCGAAGUAACUUCAACAGGCUCAAUUAAACAGAAACUUAAAUUUCACAAAUUUGUUCAUUUUCUAUUCCCACUUCUCACAACCUUCUGUAUCUUCCUGUAGCCUCAAUUUCUGCCUUUAUUUUUUCUUGACUUACUCAAACGGGCCAAAUGGUAUCAUAUAACUCAAAUGGAGAAUUUUCUUUUCCCUCACGUUUUGCUAGCAAACAAACAAACUUGUGAGAUCAUAAAGUUAAAAGGGUAUCAAUAACCUGAUGCCGGGCUAAAAGGAG